rnacentral:lncRNA from 1 species
ACACAUCUAACCACUCUUCAGCUGAUAUCCACUUGCUGACAAAUGAAUCUCUCUGGCCCCUGGACUGUGCCCUGAAACACAGCUUAAAACAGCAGAAUGAACAGUAAUCCCAGAGAUCCUGAGAUGAGAAAAGGGUGUUUGACUUAUUCAAAGAAGACCAAGGAAGCCCAAAGACCAGAGAAGAGUGCAGGAAAGGGGCGGCGGUCUGAGAUGCAGUCAGAGCAGUGGCAAGCCCCCAGAGUCUGUGGCAAAGACUUCAGGUUUCAUCCUGAAGAGGAAGACAGGUCUUUGGAGAGUUUUGAUCAAGGAAGUGAGAUGAAAUAUCUUAGGCUUACAAAGAACUACUCUGACAUCUAAAUGGAAAAUGGACUGAUGAAGCAAAAGAAGCCACAAGGAAGCCAGUUCAGAGGCUAUUGAAAUGCUCCAGAGGAACAGCGGUUUAUUGAAAGGAAAGCAAAUGUCCAGAAGCAAAAACAAACAAACAAAAAACAAACAAACAAACAAAAACAGAAAAAACUUCCCCAAAAGUAAAGAAUCACAGCUUUAUUCAGUAGCUCCUCAAUUAAAAUAGUCAUCUUCUUAAUUGUGCCAUCUUCAGAAGCAGCCAUAUAUACUGUAGUUAAGAGGCACAUGGUGAGAAAUUUGGGGUCCAAUCAAGAUGAUAGGAUUCAUCUACAUGGCAGCCCUCAAAGAUUCUGGAAGAGAAAAAUGGUGAAAAGAUACUCAGAGAGUGAGAGCCUUCAGAUUUGGGUGAGUGAUGCCAUUAGAACCAAGAUUUCUUCCAUUCUUCUGCUCUAUCAUUCUCAGCACAACAUGCUUUUCUCAUUAAGGCCGCUGUGGUUCGUCUUCUGCCUGGGAACUGGAUAAAAACAUCAGUGAAUACCCCAAAGAUUUUCAAAAAUGCUUGUUGAUAAAAUGAAGUCAGAAUGUGAGAUGAGCCCUUCCACCUGAGUGAUGUUGGUCUUGGCUGUGUGAUUUGCUUUGGCUGAUGAUAAGUUGAUGGAAGUGAUAGUAAGACAAUGCUGAGCCUCAUCCUCGGAAGUAUCUCUGCCUUCACCUGGCUUUGUGCACCACUGCCCUGGCUUUGAGAAGAACAUGAGCCCAGUAAAUUGUUAGUCCAGGAAGAAUGAGAGAGAAAGUCCUGAGGCAGAGAAGUGGAGAGAAGUUGCUGCUUGAGCUUGAGAAAGAAUGGUGGCAGAGUACAUGCAUGGAAGUGCUACCAUAGCUGCUCUGAAAUCAGAGGAAAGUGGAAUUAUAAGAAGACCCCAUCUGACAAGGCUCAUAAAGGAGAGCAACUCUUAUGGAAUACAUCCAAGAUAUAUACGUCUUUGAAGAAAGACAUCACUCAACUGUGAAAGAUCACCAUGACCCCUGCUUUAAUUUCAUCAAAAAACUUAGUCCAUCAGCUCAGUUACCCUUUAGCCUUGCAUGGGAAUUGACUCAGAGCUUCUGCAAGAUCAGGGUGAAUAUGAAUUGUUUAGCUUCAGAUGAUCAUUCCUAAAGUGAAAACUCCUGGAACUUAUUGGCAAAAAAGAGAACUCUUUGCUAUUUCUAAUAUAAAUGUGUUAUUAGAAUUGGUCUACUGUUCUAAUAAAUAACAGUAAUGGAAAUGGA